rnacentral:rRNA from 1 species
GACGAACGCUGGCGGCGCGCCUUAUACAUGCAAGUCGAACGCACGAAGUUGAAAAGCUUGCUUUUCGACCAAGUGAGUGGCGGACGGGUGAGUAACACGUGGGUAACCUGCCCAUAAGAGGGGGAUAACAUUCGGAAACGGAUGCUAAUACCGCAUAUUUCAAGUGACCGCAUGGUCGCUUGAUGAAAGGUGGCUUCGGCUACCACUUAUGGAUGGACCCGCGGUGCAUUAGUUAGUUGGUGAGGUAAUGGCUCACCAAGACCAUGAUGCAUAGCCGACCUGAGAGGGUGAUCGGCCACACUGGGACUGAGACACGGCCCAGACUCCUACGGGAGGCAGCAGUAGGGAAUCUUCCGCAAUGGACGAAAGUCUGACGGAGCAAUGCCGCGUGAGUGAAGAAGGUUUUCGGAUCGUAAAACUCUGUUGUUAGAGAAGAACAAGGAUGAGAGUAACUGCUCAUCCCCUGACGGUAUCUAACCAAAAAGCCACGGCUAACUACGUGCCAGCAGCCGCGGUAAUACGUAGGUGGCAAGCGUUGUCCGGAUUUAUUGGGCGUAAAGCGAGCGCAGGCGGUUCUUUAAGUCUGAUGUGAAAGCCCCCGGCUCACCCGGGGAGGGUCAUUGGAAACUGGAGAACUUGAGUGCACAAGAGGAGAGUGGAAUUCCAUGUGUAGCGGUGAAAUGCGUAGAUAUAUGGAGGAACACCAGUGGCGAAGGCGACUCUCUGGUCUGUAACUGACGCUGAGGCUCGAAAGCGUGGGGAGCAAACAGGAU